rnacentral:rRNA from 1 species
GACGAACGCUGGCGGCGUGCUUAACACAUGCAAGUCGAACGGAAAGUCUUUGACUUUGUGGGGUGCUAGAGUGGCAAACGGGUGAGCAACACGUGAGUAACCUGGCCUUUAAUCUGGGCAAAAUUCAGGAAAAAGGGGCUAAUACCGGUUCGGAUAUCCCACUGCAUGGUGGGGGUUGGAAAGUUUCGGCGGUUGGGGAUGGACUCGCGGCUUCUGAGCUUGUUGGGGGGGUAGUGGCUUACCAUGGGUUGGACGGCUAGCCGGACUGAGAGGGUGACCGGCCACAUUGGGCCUGAGAAGCGACCCAGACGCCUACGUGAGGCAGCAGUGGAGGACAGAUCACAAUGGGCCGAGUCAGUGUGCAGCGACGCCGCAUGCGAGAAGACGGCUUUCGGGUAAUAAAACGCUUGCGCCUGGGACGAAGCGUGAGUGACGGUAAUGAAUAAAGAAGCACCGGCUAACUACGUG